rnacentral:lncRNA from 1 species
CUCCGCCGAAGAGAAGCCACAGGAGGGAUACGUCUUCAUCAAGGGCUUCCCCGUUCACGAUAACGACGCCGCGAUUCAAGAGGCCAAGAGCCUUAACGCGAUUCGAACCGCGCUUGAGCACCUCGAAGACCAGCUCGAGUUCUUCCAUGUGAGUUUUGGAUUCGAUUCUAUUGGAUUCUCUGAUGUGCGCGAAAUUGAGAGAUUCGCUGGCCGAUUUCGAAUCUUUACUUUAGUUAGGCUUUAGGAAUAUGAAAUUAUUAUUAGCUUAAGUGCUGUUCGUUUGGUUGAAGCAGCUACCUGCGGCUGCGUCGGUGUCAAUUUUUUUAAUAAAUUCUUGUUCGUUUCAUUGAUGCCGUACUGCGUCUAAACGCUGCGUCUUCGUGUCGAUUGUCGAAAAAAUCUGCAUCUGCGAUUAAAACUGCGUCGGCGUCUACGAAACGAACAACAACUAUUUUCAUUAGCUCUGUUCUUUUCAUGGACGCAGCGUCGGCGACUGCGGCGAAAAAUUAACAAACAAGAAAAAGCAAUCUAAGUGCAGGGUCGUUAUACAUCUCCCGCCGGCGGCUGCCGCUACUCGUAUUUUCCGUGUUUCAUCAUCGCUGGAUUUAUCAGCGUCUCCUAAACAUACGUUGACGUGUAGCUCGCGUCAAUUAUUAACAUCCUUCAACUUUCUGUUUUAACUUGUUGCUGACGUGUCAUGUUUAAUCCUCUUAUAUUUUUGUGUCAUAGACGCGGACGCUGCGUCCAGUAAAAGAACAGAGCUAUUCACGCCGACGCCGAAAACUGCGGCAACCAAACGAACAUGACUUUAUUCUUUUUCUUUGCCAUUCAUAGAGGUUCUGUUCUGCUGGUCAGUUUCUUUAUGUUCGUUCAGUUUAUAACUUGAUCCUGACAUUUUUGAAAGAUAAUGUCUCAGACGAUACAUACACAGCAACGAACAGAGAGGGAUGUAGCAGUUGCUCGGCUUGAACAAAGCAGGAUGUUACUAGCAAAGCGAUUGGCUGAACACCACGGCAAGAGCUACGGAGUUCUAGAUGAAACUCUUGCCUUCGUUGGGAGCAUUAAAACCUCCACAAAUUACGUUUACAACUCCUCUCCAAACACAGCCGGGGCAUACUCUUAUAUAUGUGUGUGUUUUAUUUAUGGUAUGUACAGUCAGUGGCGAAGCCGGUGCAUGAACAGAGUGGGCAUGCACAUCCGUAAUUUUAGAGCAAUAUUAUUAGUGGGAUGAAGAGUGAGAAAGAGAAUCCUUUGUUUUUUUUUUUUUUUUUUUUUUUGGUCGUUGGAGAGUAAAAGACAUUCCUUAAUUAGGGGUUUUUUCCUUCUUUUUCUUCUUCGGUUUUCACCCUCUUUAGAGAUUUCUCUAAAGAAUGUCUUAACGGACUCCCAAUGUUGCUCUUAGCCUCGAGACCAACGCGGAUGACACUUUUGGGCCUGUCAUUGAACGCCUCAGUAGAGAGAGCCCAAACAAAUUAACAAACUUGGAGAAACGCGUCGCUCGCACACUCGAUAAACAAACACGUGCAUAGUCCGUGCCGGAUAAACCGUUAUAGCAUUUCCGGGUCGGGUCGCGUUUCGGAAAAUCAAAAUCACCGGAGCGAUAGUUUCACUCAGUCCACAAUUAAAGUUUACCCGAAGAAGAAGAAGUCCUUUUUCCCUCUUUUUAUCUUUCUCUCUUUUUUUUUCUUUUGUAUGGUAAUGAAAUGGGAGAGAUGGAGAUGGAAGAAAUCGAAGCAGUUCUGGAGAAAAUCUGCGAUCUGCACGACAAGCUCAGCGACGAGAUUCACAUGAUUUCGCGCUCUCACUUCCUCAAAUCCGUUAAACCAGCAACCAGAUCGGAGAAGAGGAAGAGCCAGGGCAUCAACUCCGCCGAAGAGAAGCCACAGGAGGGAUACGUCUUCAUCAAGGGCUUCCCCGUUAACGAUAACGACGCCGCGAUUCAAGAGGCCAAGAGCCUUAACGCGAUUCGAACCGCGCUUGAGCACCUCGAAGACCAGCUCGAGUUCUUCCAUGUGAGUUUUGGAUUCGAUUCUAUUGGAUUCUCUGAUGUGCGCGAAAUUGAGAGAUUCGCUGGCCGAUUUCGAAUCUUUACUUUAGUUAGGCUUUAGGAAUAUGAAAUUAUUAUUAGCUUAAGUGCUGUUCGUUUGGUUGAAGCAGCUACCUGCGGCUGCGUCGGUGUCAAUUUUUUUAAUAAAUUCUUGUUCGUUUCAUUGAUGCCGUACUGCGUCUAAACGCUGCGUCUUCGUGUCGAUUGUCGAAAAAAUCUGCAUCUGCGAUUAAAACUGCGUCGGCGUCUACGAAACGAACAACAACUAUUUUCAUUAGCUCUGUUCUUUUCAUGGACGCAGCGUCGGCGACUGCGGCGAAAAAUUAACAAACAAGAAAAAGCAAUCUAAGUGCAGGGUCGUUAUACAUCUCCCGCCGGCGGCUGCCGCUACUCGUAUUUUCCGUGUUUCAUCAUCGCUGGAUUUAUCAGCGUCUCCUAAACAUACGUUGACGUGUAGCUCGCGUCAAUUAUUAACAUCCUUCAACUUUCUGUUUUAACUUGUUGCUGACGUGUCAUGUUUAAUCCUCUUAUAUUUUUGUGUCAUAGACGCGGACGCUGCGUCCAGUAAAAGAACAGAGCUAUUCACGCCGACGCCGA